GGUUCUGUGGUGUAAUGGUUAGCACUUUGGACUUUGAAUCCAAGGAUCCGAAUUCAAAUCUCGGCAGGACCU
rnacentral:tRNA from 1 species